UGGUUACUGCACACAUCAUCAUAUGAUGUUAUUGCUUUGAUUUAUAGCUUUAUUACAUUGCAAGUUUUAUUUUGUGUACAUUGUGAUCGUAGGAGCCAUUUGAAGAAGAGUGUGCUAAUCGCGAGUGUAGAAAGUAAACACGAGACGACUUCAAAAGAAACAUUACCCGGAAGUGGGCAAGUAAUCUAAUAUCCCCAGGUCACCUGGUUUCCGGAAGUGCUUUAAUAAAGCCUCUGACUACCCGUACUUACACUGAAGCAGUAAUAUUAGGAAUACAUUGUAGUAAAAUAAUAUGAAGGUAGCGGGUACACGGUAUGGUCCUCCAGGGAGCCGGGAAUACUUCCCGCUCACGGAACUAGGUGGAUAAACGUAGAUAAUACGCCGUAUUUAUCCGUACUCCCACUCACAAAAUGGCUAGACGUAAUGACCGCCGCCAGGUAUAGAAAAGAAAUUAAAUGAAAACCCCUGCACAGUAUUGAUAAAUAAAUCGCUGUACUCAGAAUAAACGUGGGUAAUUUGUAACCGAUUGUGGGCGUUUCGACUACCCACAUAAUAAAGAACUUAUAUUUAACUGUUUGAAUAUUUUCAGGACACGUCCUUCCCUU